rnacentral:tRNA from 1 species
GGGUGGUUAGCUCAGUUGGUUAGAGUACAUGCUUGACAUGCAUGGGGUCGAUGGUUCGAGUCCAUUACUACCCACCA